rnacentral:rRNA from 1 species
UACGUAGGGUGCGAGCGUUAAUCGGAAUUACUGGGCGUAAAGCGUGCGCAGGCGGUUUUGUAAGCCAGAUGUGAAAUCCCCGGGCUUUAACCUGGGAAUGGCAUUUGGGACUGCAAGGCUUGAGUGCGGCAGAGGAGACUGGAAUUCCUGGUGUAGCAGUGAAAUGCGUAGAGAUCCGGAGGAACACCAAAGGCGAAGGCAGUGAUCCUGGGGAGUACCUGACGCUCAGGUGGCGAAAGCCAGGGGAGCGAACGGG